UUAUAACUGCAUGAGUGCUGUUAGGCACAGAGAAGGGAAAAGUAAUCCUACAGACUUGAAAAAACAACAACAACAAAUUCCACUCUGUAGUUUUGAUUUGAAGGGGAUGUGGAGAACGUUGGAGUGUUAUUAAAAACACUCCUGGUACAAUGAGAUUUUCCUGACAUGAUGUUACAAUGUCAGAUGAAAUGCUCUUCCAAGUCUUCAGAGCACUGGGUGUUGCAAAGCCAUCAUGGUUACAUCAUGUCAAGAUGUUGGCAAAUAAUGUCACUGGGAAUCUGUGGAGCACUUGUCACAGUACAGAAAUGAAACAAAAAGAUGUCAGAGCAAUUCCAAAAACAGAGUAUUUGAUUAUCAAGGAGAUUAUGAAAGACAAACUAUAUCCAACUUCUGGCUGAUAUCCAAGUGUAUUACCAGAAUUACAUGUUCAGAUGGGCCUUCCUCCGUGCUCAUGAUGAAGGAUCAAAAUAUGUGGCUUCCUUGUCUCAAAGGCAAACCCUGGAGAUACCAAUAUAGGGAUCUUAUAGUUCCCUGUAUAGUGGAGGCCUGAUGUGGAGUUGAAGCUGGUAUGAAGAAAGUAGGUCUGCUGAGGAAGUCUGGAGAUUUGGUCUCAAGCUAGGCCUAGCUUCCCUGAAACAUUCAUGCAGCUGUGUUAUUUCUCUGUUGUUGUUAUAAACAGGUUUUUAAUGUCCCUGGUAAUCACUGAACUUCUUGAAUUUUGGCCAACAUACCAAACUCAAAGCCCUCCAAAUGGCUGCUUCUGCCAAGCUUUACACAUUAUGGCAUUUUAGGUAAUGCUACGUUUCAGCAGCUUAGGGUGAGUUAUUGGGUGAGUUCAGUGUCCAAGAGGAAAAAACAAAACACACAAUUCCAUUCAAGUCCAUGAAAAAUUUUAUUCUUGGAAGGUGUUGGAUACUGGCAACAUAAAAUAUAUGAAACUACAGUAAAAAUCUAUUUAAAAUGAAUACCAUAACCUGAUUUUCUUGUUCUUUUGCUUAUAAAUAAUGCAAUGGAUUUAGUAGGUAUAUUUAUUUAGAUAGCAAAGUACAGACAAGUAUGACA
rnacentral:lncRNA from 1 species